rnacentral:lncRNA from 1 species
ACAACUGAUUUAGGAGGUAAUGCCAUGUUGAUCCCUUUCUUUUUCCACUGUUAGUUACUACAGAAGAAUUCUCUGGGACAACUGCUAUAUCUAGAACGUCCCACACUGGUAGGUUGAUAAGCAGGAAAUCUCCAUGUUUAACCAUAUAAUAUAGUUUUAGAGCUGCUUUGAUGAAAUACCAACCUCAUUCUUUUCCCAAUAUCCCAAAUUCUGAUCUCACCAUUCAUCACUUCCUCCCCCAGAGGCCACAACUUUAAUAGAAGGCCGCAGCAUUCCUCCAUCUGGAUCCAGCCCAGCCACCACUGGGGUAGCUCCUGGCACAACUGUUGCACCUGGCAGUUCCAACACAGGUGGGUCCCUGAGGUGGCACAUUCCUCCACGAGUCCAUCUAUGACAAAUUCUCCUCCAGUGUUACCCUGGGUAGGAGAACUACCAUAGGUUUUCCAUGGUGUUGAAAUAUUGUUCAUCACUUCUGUCCUGUUUUCCUCUUUCUCAGAGGCCACAACUUCUGUAGGAGAAAGAGAAACAACAAAAGCUGAAAUAAUCACAGGUGAGCUCUGUUAAGGUAUUAACUAUUCCUGAAACCUUCCCAAGAAUCUGG